GACGAACGCUGGCGGCGUGCUUAACACAUGCAAGUCGAACGGAAAGGCCCAGCUUGCUGGGUGCUCGAGUGGCGAACGGGUGAGUAACACGUGGGUGAUCUGCCCCUAACUUCGGGAUAAGCUUGGGAAACUGGGUCUAAUACCGGAUAGGACAAUCGUUUAGUGUCGGUUGUGGAAAGUUUUUUCGGUUAGGGAUGAGCCCGCGGCCUAUCAGCUUGUUGGUGGGGUAAUGGCCUACCAAGGCGUCGACGGGUAGCCGGCCUGAGAGGGUGGACGGCCACAUUGGGACUGAGAUACGGCCCAGACUCCUACGGGAGGCAGCAGUGGGGAAUAUUGCACAAUGGGCGCAAGCCUGAUGCAGCGACGCCGCGUGGGGGAUGACGGCCUUCGGGUUGUAAACCUCUUUCGACAGGGACGAAGCUUUGGUGACGGCACCUGUAUAAGAAGCACCGGCUAACUACGUG
rnacentral:rRNA from 1 species